GUGGUGCAAAUGGUGAACAUACUUGGCUGCUAACCAAAAGGUGGAGGUUCAACUCCACCC
rnacentral:tRNA from 1 species